CAGUAGCCGCGGUAAUACGUAGGGUGCAAGCGUUAAUCGGAAUUACUGGGCGUAAAGCGUGCGCAGGCGGUUCGCUAAGACAGAUGUGAAAUCCCCGGGCUUAACCUGGGAACUGCAUUUGAGACUGCAUGGCUAGAGUGUGUCAGAAGGGGGUAGAAUUCCACGUGUAGCAGUGAGAUGCGUAGAUAUGUGGAGGAAUACCGAUGGCGAAGGCAGCCCCCUGGGAUAACACUGACGCUCAUGCACGAAAGCGUGGGGAGUAAACAGGAUUAGAUACCCCAGUAGUCCCUGUCUCUUAUAA
rnacentral:rRNA from 1 species